CUUAAUCCAACAUCGAGGUCGCAAACCCCCCUGCCGAUAAGAACUCUCAAGGGAAAUAACGCUGUUAUCCCUAAGGUAAUUUAAUCUUACAAUCAAAAUAAAUGGAUCAAGUAAAUAUAAAUAAAUAUAACAACCUAAAGGAGGGGUUAAAUAAAUCCCUCCCAUCACCCCAACAAAACAUACUAAACGGCCCAGUGAACCCUCACAAACAGAAAGGGGCCAUAAUAAAUGUUAAACUCUAUAGGGUCUUCUCGUCCCAUAAAAACAUCUAAGAAUUUUAACUCAAAGACCAAAUUCAAUAAACAAUUCAAAAUUAAGACAGCCCAUGCCUCGUCAAGCCAUUCAUACCAGAUCACAAUUAAAGAACUAAUGACUAUGCUACCUUUGCACGGUCAAAAUACCGCGGCCCUUCAACAUCAAAGUCAGUGGGCAGGCCAUACUUCAAAAACUAA
rnacentral:rRNA from 1 species